CCUACGGGUGGCAGCAGUGAGGAAUAUUGGUCAAUGGGCGGAAGCCUGAACCAGCCAAGUCGCGUGAGGGAUUAAGGCCCUGCGGGUCGUAAACCUCUUUUGCCGGGGAGCAGUGGUCCGGACGUGUCCGGGCCGGGAGAGUACCCGGACAAAAAACAUCGGCUAACUCGGUGCCAGCAGCCGCGGUAAUACGGAGGAUGCGAGCGUUAUCCGGAUUUAUUGGGGUUAAAGGGUGCGUAGGCGGAAUGCCAAGUCAGCGGUAAAAUCGCGGGGCUCAACCUCGCUCCGCCGUUGAAACUGGCGUGCUUGAGUGGGCGAGAAGUAUGCGGAAUGCGUGGUGUAGCGGUGAAAUGCAUAGAGAUCACGCAGAACUCCGAUUGCGAAGGCAGCAUACCGGCGCCCAACUGACGCUGAAGCACGAAAGCGUGGGUAUCGAACAGGAUUAGAUACCCUUGUAGUC
rnacentral:rRNA from 1 species